AGAAAAAGCCGAAGACUGGCGCCGGCUCCUGCUAGAGGAAGGGGAGGGGGAGAGUGUUGCUAGUUUGAAUAAUCAGAAAGUCCUUUCUCGUACAGCUAAAAGAUAUCACUAAGCGGAUCCAGGUUGCCACUUUAUAGAGGAGCGGAAAUAUCCGUUCUGCAUGAGGUUAUCUCAGGACAUGGAGAUGAACAAAGAACAGUUUGGAUCCCCCUCUCUUUUUCAUGAGAGGCUUUCAGUUGGUGUAAGAGGUUAAAAAGGGCCCUGUGUCCUUUGAGGAAGUGGCUGUGUAUUUCAUAGAAGAGGAGUGGGCUUUGCUGGAUCCUGGCCGAAGAAGUCAUGAUGGAGAAUGAUGAGAAAUAAGUCUUUCUGAAGCACAAGUGUUAGCUAAGAAGGCCUGAAGUUGGUUGGCCACAUAUUUGUCUAUGGAUGUUUUUUUAAGUAGGGGGUGGAUUACUGCCUCUUUGAUCGUCUAAUGGAAGGUGCCUUGCAUUAGUGAUGAUAAACAUCAAGGGCUAAUUUACUCGGACCUUAAAAGAUUUUAACAGCUAGGAUGGGCAAGGAUCCCGUGCGCAAGUUGGGUCUUCAUAGAUGACAGGAUCUUGUCAAUACACAUUUUUAUAUGAAAGUUUGUUGUAAACUGCGUUGAGUGCUGUA